rnacentral:rRNA from 1 species
UACAGAGGUCCCAAGCGUUGUUCGGAUUCCCUGGGCGUAAAGGGUGCGUAGGCGGUCGGAUACGUCUGAUGUGAAAUCUUCGAGCUCAACUCGGAAACUGCAUCGGAAACUAUUCGGCUGGAGGAUUGGAGGGGAGACUGGAAUUCUCGGUGUAGCAGUGAAAUGCGUAGAUAUCGAGAGGAACACCAGUGGCGAAGGCGAGUCUCUGGACAAUUCCUGACGCUGAGGCACGAAAGCUAGGGGAGCAAACAGG